GAUAUACUCCCUCCGUCCCAAAAUUCUUGCCUUAGAUUCCUCUAGAUAUGGAUGAUUCUAAUACUAAAACAUGACUUGAUACAUAUGUAUUUAGACAAAUCUAAAACAAGAAUUUUGGGAUGGAGGGAGUACAAU
rfam:Triticum aestivum genome assembly, contig: Triticum_aestivum_CS42_TGACv1_scaffold_161152_2DL